GAUGAACGCUAGCUACAGGCUUGACACAUGCAAGUCGAGGGGAAACGAUAUUGGAAGCUUGCUUCCGAUAGGCGUCGACCGGCGCACGGGUGAGUAACGCGUAUCCAACCUGCCCACCACUUGGGGAUAACCUUGCGAAAGUAAGACUAAUACCCAAUGAUAUCUCUAGAAGACAUCUGAAGGAGAUUAAAGAUUCAUCGGUGAUGGAUGGGGAUGCGUCUGAUUAGCUUGUUGGCGGGGUAACGGCCCACCAAGGCGACGAUCAGUAGGGGUUCUGAGAGGAAGGUCCCCCACAUUGGAACUGAGACACGGUCCAAACUCCUACGGGAGGCAGCAGUGAGGAAUAUUGGUCAAUGGGCGAGAGCCUGAACCAGCCAAGUAGCGUGCAGGAUGACGGCCCUAUGGGUUGUAAACUGCUUUUAUAAGGGAAUAAAGUGGGAGUCGUGACUCCUUUUGCAUGUACCUUAUGAAUAAGGACCGGCUAAUUCCGUGCCAGCAGCCGCCGUAA
rnacentral:rRNA from 1 species